CCUGGCUCAGGAUGAACGCUAGCGGCAGGCUUAACACAUGCAAGUCGAGGGGUAUGGUUCUUCGGAACCAGAGACCGGCGCACGGGUGCGUAACGCGUAUGCAAUCUACCUUUUACAGAGGGAUAGCCCAGAGAAAUUUGGAUUAAUACCUCAUAGUAUUACGACUCGGCAUCGAGAUGUAAUUAAAGUCACAACGGUAAAAGAUGAGCAUGCGUCCCAUUAGCUAGUUGGUAAGGUAACGGCUUACCAAGGCUACGAUGGGUAGGGGUCCUGAGAGGGAGAUCCCCCACACUGGUACUGAGACACGGACCAGACUCCUACGGGAGGCAGCAGUGAGGAAUAUUGGUCAAUGGGCGCAAGCCUGAACCAGCCAUGCCGCGUGCAGGAUGACGGUCCUAUGGAUUGUAAACUGCUUUUGCACAGGAAGAAACAACRYUACGUGUARYGUCUUGACGGUACUGUGAGAAUAAGGAUCGGCUAACUCCGUGCCAGCAGCCGCGGUAAUACGGAGGAUCCAAGCGUUAUCCGGAAUCAUUGGGUUUAAAGGGUCCGUAGGCGGUCUAGUAAGUCAGUGGUGAAAGCCCAUCGCUCAACGGUGGAACGGCCAUUGAUACUGCUAGACUUGAAUUAUUAGGAAGUAACUAGAAUAUGUAGUGUAGCGGUGAAAUGCUUAGAGAUUACAUGGAAUACCAAUUGCGAAGGCAGGUUACUACUAAUUGAUUGACGCUGAUGGACGAAAGCGUGGGUAGCGAACAGGAUUAGAUACCUGGGGUAGUCA
rnacentral:rRNA from 1 species